CAAUAGCGUAUAUUAAAGUUGUUGCAGUUAAAAAGCUCGUAGUUGGAUUUCUGGUGGGAGCGAUCGGUCUGGCGCUUAGCGCGAGUACUUGCAUCGUCUCCGGCCAUCCUUGGGGAGAGUCUGUCUGGCAUUAGGUUGUCGGGCAGAGGAUCCUCAUCGUUUACUGUGAAAUAAUUAGAGUGUUCAAAGCAGGCUUAUGCCGUUGAAUAUAUUAGCAUGGAAUAAUAAGAUAGGACUUUGGUACUAUUUUGUUGGUUUGCGCACCAAAGUAAUGAUUAAUAGGGACAGUUGGGGGUAUUCGUAUUCCGUUGUCAGAGGUGAAAUUCUUGGAUUUACGGAAGACGAACUACUGCGAAAGCAUUUACCAAGGAUGUUUUCAUUAA
rnacentral:rRNA from 1 species